AUUAUUUUUUGCUUGAGAUGUUUAUAAUUUAUAGAGUUUUUUAAACUAUAUUUUCUUACCUUGGUUAUUUUCAUUGAGAACAGGAUCUUGCUAUAUUUCAGACUGGGCCAGGCUGGCCUCCAAUUUGAGGCAACACUGGUGCAGCCUUUCAAGAGUGCAAAUACAGGUGUAAACUGCUAUACUUAAUUUUUAUUUUUAAUUGCAUAGUGUGGCAACUUGAUUUUCAUAGCUGAAUAAUUAUAUUUAAUUUUGUGUUAUUUUGGGGUUUGGUUUUGUUGGGUUUUUUUCCUCUUUUGCUUUGUUUGUAUUUUAAGGAUAGGGUCUCCAAUUUAUCACCUUCCUCCCUCAGCACUACUUCUUGAGUGUUGGAGUUAUAGAUAUGCACCACCAUACCAGACUAAUAUUCAUUUUAUCAAACAUGAUUAUAAAGUAAAUCUUAAGUCUUCCCAUGAGGGAAUUUUCCUUUAUUUCUAAAGGACUUUUGUGUUAUCUUACUUUUCUACUACUAGUUCUUUUAAAUGAAGGUGUAAAUUAUAUCUAAUCGUGGUUGACUAGAGAGCAUUAUUACACAAACGGCAUUUGAAUUGUACUGAAUUAUUGACAUACCUAAAAGUAUGUGUGUUUAACAGUUCAACUAAUAGCAGUUCCUUAUGCUGUUCAGAUUUGAUGAUCGUGACAGAACUGGCUUUUGCAAAUAUGAACGUAGUGGGUAUAGUCGUUGGUGUGACAGAGCAGAUGAAGAUGAUUGGUCAAAACCUCUUCCUCCAAGUGAACGCUUAGAACAAGAACUUUUUUCUGGAGGAAAUACGGGGAUUAACUUUGAGAAAUACGACGAUAUACCAGUAGAGGCAACUGGCAAUAACUGCCCUCCACAUAUUGAAAAUUUUAGCGAUCUUGAGAUGGGAGAGAUUAUUAUGGGAAACAUUGAACUGACUCAUUAUACUCGUCCUACUCCAGUGCAAAAACAUGCAAUUCCUAUUAUCAAAGAAAAAAGAGAUUUAAUGGCUUGUGCUCAAACAGGUACAUAUACUUGGUAAAGAAUAAAAGCAUAUCUACUGGGGUUGCUCUAAAGUAUGUUCUGUGAGAAGGCCUGAAUCCUCUAUUUAUCAUGACUUUGAGGAAUGGCUAGGGCUAAAGGUGUAGGGAAAGUGGGAAGGGUAGGGGAAAGG
rnacentral:lncRNA from 1 species